UACGCAGGGUGCAAGCGUUACUCGGAAUUACUGGGCGUAAAGGGCGCGUCGGCGGCGUGGUAAGUCACUUGUGAAAUCUCUGAGCUUAACUCAGAACGGUCAAGUGAUACUGCUGUGCUAGAGUGCGGAAGGGGCAAUCGGAAUUCUUGGUGUAGCGGUGAAAUGCGUAGAUAUCAAGAGGAACACCUGAGGUGAAGACGGGUUGCUGGGCCGACACUGACGCUGAUGCGCGAAAGCCAGGGGAGCAAACGGG
rnacentral:rRNA from 1 species